UGAAAGUUCUUUUGUAGGAGUCUAACAAUUAGUAAACAGAAAUGAUACUCAGACACAAAACCAUAGACAAAUAUACGACACCAUAUUUACAAGGAUGGGUAAUUUCGAAAUUUCAACAUUAAACCAAGGACAGUUUUGGAAAAUCCAAUUUAUCUUCUUCUUUCCCUGCUCAUUGCCGUGCGUUCCCUCUCCCUACGAACCUCUUCUCUCUUCUCUCACAUCACCUCCAAUCGGCAAGUUCUCCUCUGAUAUUUCACCAUUGAUUGAAGCAAAUUGAUAUAGGUAAAUCUCAAAUCUCCAUCUCCUUCAUCAUGUAUGACAAUCUCAUAUCCGGUUCCUUUUACAUUCAAUUUCAAUUUGAUCUGAAAUUAUGGUGUUCAAUGUGUUCUUCAGUUUUUAUUUUGAUGGCUAUGGGUAUUAAAAAGAAAAAGUGAAAAAAAUGUCUAGAAACUCUUCCAAUUUCAAUUUGACACAAUUGAAAAGAAAGGGUGGUUAGUUGUUUUGGUUGUGAUAUUGUUGUUAGUGUUGUGUGGUGUUGUUUAGAUAGAAUUGUUUUCAGCUUUUGAGAGUUUUAUGAGCUGCAUUUGCUGUGCUUUUGCAGUGGACAUUUUAUGCUCAGUUUUCUGCCUAGCAUUGUGCGAGUUGGCUGCUGCAAUGUUGGGCUGUUGCGGCUUUGCUUUCCUACUGUGUGCACGCCCGUUUCACAUGGAUUGUUGACCACUGUUGUCUUCUUUACAUGGAUUGGAUUAUCCGAAACAACACCAAUUCAACAAGCUUGUAAAUGUUCCGACAUAAUGAAGGAAAUGAGCAAUAAGAAAUUUGAAAAGUUAAAUGUCAAUUUGUAUGUUGAGAAGAAAGGAAUUGGAGUAUCAUUCUUUUGUUGCUGCUAUGGUGAUUUUUUGUUACUUAUGUACUUAGGUUUUAGGGGAAAAUUGAAGGGUUUAUUUGUUACACUUGUUGACUAUUUUGUGAUUGUUUAAAACAAUUAUGUAAGAUUGAAAUCAUAGUAUUUGUAUCAUAAUAGAAAUGUAUUGUAUUAUGAUAAUGGUAAUGAUUGCUUUUGAAA